rnacentral:misc_RNA from 1 species
UAACAGGGAGACCUACCCGCUCUUAUCACCGAAAGCAACUAGUUAAUAGGUGAAGAGUUGGUCAUCCCAAGGUCGAACGAGGUAUAAGUGUAGGCUUUCAAACUAUUUCCGGGUUUAACAUCACUUCGGUGGCAAAACCACUCCUUGAGAGUACGGUUUUGACCACUGAGGUUCUUCUUUGGAACCAGUAUAGUAGUGGAUGUGGAUGUUGAAUCGGUUGAGACCAAGACCUCAACGAAGUGAAGAAAACGCUCAGCAAACAACCCUAAAAAAGCUUGGUUGUUUCCCCACAAACCAAAAUAGAUUCGCUACAGUAAUAAAUGUGGCAAACGAGCUAGCCAGUUCCAGCGAGUGGACUGAUACUAACCCACCAGGAUUUGAGCCAAUUGGAUAGAUGACUUCAGCAACUUAUCUAGUUUGUGAUUGGACUAGAGAGCCUGCUGGAUUUUGAACUCCAGUCAUGAACCUUGAAAAUUGCAUAGCAACUUGUCAGGUAGUUAGUGAAAGCUGAACGAAUGUUCAGAGAUUCACUAAUCACAGACACCAAUGUAAGAAAUUGU